UGGCCCAGAGCAACUGUGCAGAUGCAGAGUUGUGACUGAGCACCUCCUGCCCUCCCGCACUUGCGGGCUGACUGUGGCAGUAUCUGGUCCUGGAUUCCAUGCUACUGGGGCCAGUGUCCAGCGUUGCACUGCUACUGCCCCAUGCAUGUACUGCAAUAUUCUGAUAGCUGAGCCAGCUACUGAGUGCCUGGCAGAACUGGUCAUGUAGACAGUGUGGAUAGGCUACACAAGGGGAGAUCGAUGGCCCCAGUCAGGGCAGUUGGGAUGCUGUAAGAUUUCAUCACGCUCCUUGGAAUGGCAAGACAACCAAGUCCCUAUAUGUCUCCUCUGGACAGCACGGGUGAAAUCUUCUCAGAGACGACAAUCAUCAAAACCUCCUCACCAUGACAGCAAGCAAGGAGGAAGGACCCUAAAGACCGUCGAUGCCCCUUUUCAGCAUGAAGUAGCUACAGAGAAUGAUGUCUGCCCCAUGUCCCAAAAGAUUUCUGGGUCCCAACCACUUGAGGGAGAAUGUAAGAGGAGUAGACAGCCAGAUAUAAGCAGGCACAAGGAGGUGGUAUCCAUGUUGAAAAGAAACCCCCAGAACACCUCUUUGGAUGCUCAGUACUCCAGCUUCAAAAUAUCAGAAUGUUGUUAACUAGAUCAUGAUAAGGACAAAAGGCAAAGGGGAAUUCCUGAGAGCUGAGCAGGCACAAUGAGUACAAAAUUGACUGCUAUACCUUCCCAGGGUGGUGGUAAUAUGCAGUGCCACCAUUAGGUAGGAUUUGUGUUGAUUAAUGUUUCCCAUGCAUGUGCAUUAAGCACAGUAAGGGAGGAUCCCCCGAACUUUGGUGAGAACUGGGCAAAGAAAUAACUGAGGCAACAGAAGAUAACAAUGCAGAGUGUCGUGGGGAUGUUUCCAGCAGGGUCAGCCCCCUCCUCUCUUGGAGUGUGUUUGUACUUUUCCAAUAAAACUUUUCUUUACUUACA
rnacentral:lncRNA from 13 species